GCCGAAGCCCAUACAUCUUU
rnacentral:siRNA from 1 species